CAUUAUUUAUAUAUAUUUUUUUUAAUUAGCGUUUAGAUCCUGAAAUAGCAAGUAAUGUGUGUCAAUUAUUUUUAUGGGCUCCAAGUAGCUGGAUGAAAUCAGGACGGACUAAAAUACCAACAAGUGCUGAGAUUUUAGAAUGGUUAUUAUGUAUGACAACGAAAGUUUUGUGUGAGGGUCGAUGUAAUUCUCCACUAAACAAAACCGUCCCUCAAGAAACGAGCGCUAUUUAUAAAGUUGGAAGGCGAACUUAUCCCGAGUACUUAUUAAUUUCGAGCUUUUUAUGUAGAGCUAAACUUUCUAAUAUCAAAUCUGCUUUAUCCUGGAUACAGAAUAAUGUUUGAUUUGAAACAGUUAAUAAAUUUGAAAGUAAUAAAAUUGUAAGUUAAAGGAUUUAAUUUUGUAAUAAACAAAAUUAUCUUGUUUAAUAAUUACAUUAUUAAUUUUGUUUCUUAAGUGUUUAAUUUAAUCGCAAGUUAUUUAAAAAUCUUAUUAUUAAGGUUAGAAGUUAAUUUCGUUGUACUGGAAGUGAUGUGAUAUGAAAAAGAUGGUUUAAAGUAUGUAAAUAAAUGAUUUUAAUCUUAUCAAAUAGAUUAUGAAAAAAGCAUCUAAAUAAUCUGUAUAUUUUUGGUUGAAGUUAAAAUAAAGUUUAUUUGUCUAAAAAAUUAAA